rnacentral:rRNA from 1 species
GACGAACGCUGGCGGCGUGCUUAACACAUGCAAGUCGAACGGAAAGGCCCUGCUUUCGUGGGGUGCUCGAGUGGCGAACGGGUGAGUAACACGUGAGUAACCUGCCCUUGACUUUGGGAUAACUUCAGGAAACUGGGGCUAAUACCGGAUAGGAGCCCCUGCUGCAUGGUGGGGGUUGGAAAGUUUCGGCGGUUGGGGAUGGACUCGCGGCUUAUCAGCUUGUUGGUGGGGUAGUGGCUUACCAAGGCUUUGACGGGUAGCCGGCCUGAGAGGGUGACCGGCCACAUUGGGACUGAGAUACGGCCCAGACUCCUACGGGAGGCAGCAGUGGGGAAUAUUGCACAAUGGGCGGAAGCCUGAUGCAGCAGCGCCGCGUGCGGGAUGACGGCCUUCGGGUUGUGAACCGCUUUCGCCUGUGACGAAGCGUGUGUGACGGUAAUGGAUAAAGAAGCACCGGCUAACUACGUG